rnacentral:lncRNA from 1 species
UUUUAAUUAAUAACCUUAACCCAUAUUGAUGCUAUACUUAAUUGAGAAUUAAGAAAUAUAUUUUAGAUCUAGAAUUGUGAUUAAAGAUCUUGAUGAAGGGAAGGAAACAGUUUCCCUCCAGAAUGUCUAGGUUUCAUCUAAGAAUUUUUUUUAGUUUUCUACUUGUUUAAGGAUCAAAUUCUUACCUGAAUCACAGUGAAACCAGAGAUCAAAUCUCAAAUUAUCUGAUAUAAACUUUCAUGGAGGUUUGGAUAUGCAGACUCUCUACUUCGCAUG